ACCACUCUUCACUCCUGCAGUCUGGGAGUGUGUCACCACCCGCAGCUCAGCGAGCUGGCCAGGAAUAUGUUAUACUCCUUUUACUCCCGCUGUUUGGCAGGUCCCAAGUUCUUGUUUCGCAUCCAGGAAGAAUGAGGUUAUGUGGAUAACUGGAGGGGUCUCACUGUCGCCCAGGCUGAAGUGCAGUGGCGUGAUCACGGCUCAUGGCAGCCUCAACCUCUCCAACCUCUCGGGCUCAAGCGAUACUUCCACCUCCACCUCCUGCGUAGCUGGGACUACAGGCACGUAACACUAUGCCCAGCUAAUACAUAAAUCAUACCUCC